rnacentral:lncRNA from 1 species
CCCGUCCGCGCGGGGGACCAGCGCUCAGCCAUAGAGACGGGCGAAGCCCUGACAGGCGCUACAGCAGGGACGGACCUGGGAAACCUGGCGCCAAGAGGAGAAAGCCACACACAGGGGGCCACAAGGUGUGCGAUCCCAUUUAUGAAACAUCUGGAACAGGCCGUGCGCAGCGGGCCCUGAAGCCGGCGGGUCGGGCCUGCUGGGCGGCUCGCGAGGCUUCUGCAACACUGGCCCAGCCAGGGGUUCCUGUUUUGGGAGAAUGUUGUCACCACCGCUUCUUAGAAAGAGCCUGAGGCCCGCUGAGAACAUUAGGGUUUCGCAGGAGCGUGGUGGCCGGACUGAAGCCCGCCCUGGGCAGACCUGGCGACAGGCUCCUGAGACAAGCGUUUUAUUCAAGAAUAACACGCAGACGUUGAAGAGCCUGAAUCCCGAGUGUGCAGCUCUCGAUACAUUUUCACAAAGUUAACACACCCACCUCUCCAGCACCCAGAUCAAGAGGCAGG